rnacentral:rRNA from 1 species
GUGGGGAAUAUUGGACAAUGGGCGAAAGCCUGAUCCAGCCAUGCCGCGUGUGUGAAGAAGGUCUUCGGAUUGUAAAGCACUUUAAGUUGGGAGGAAGGGUAGUAACCUAAUACGUUGCUACUUUGACGUUACCGACAGAAUAAGCACCGGCUAACUUCGUGCCAGCAGCCGCGGUAAUACGAAGGGUGCAAGCGUUAAUCGGAAUUACUGGGCGUAAAGCGCGCGUAGGUGGGUCAGUAAGUUGGAAGUGAAAUCCCCGGGCUCAACCUGGGAACUGCUUUCAAAACUGCUGAGCUAGAGUACGGUAGAGGGUGGUGGAAUUUCCUGUGUAGCGGUGAAAUGCGUAGAUAUAGGAAGGAACACCAGUGGCGAAGGCGACCACCUGGACUGAUACUGACACUGAGGUGCGAAAGCGUGGGGAGCAAACAGGAUUAGAUACCCGUGUAGUCC